UUCAUGAAACCGAGGAUAAAAGGUUACAUCUUUCAAACGUACUUAAUUAUUACAUCGUCUAUGUAAUAAUAGUAACUAUGUAAUAAUUGCAGUAAAUAUUAUAUCGAUAUAACCACGCAUUUUAAUCGAAAAGUUUAUGAUUAUAACCUGUCUCUUAUUUCAACAACAGAGAAGCUGAUUAAGAAGCGCUCGGUUUACGAUGUUUGCGGAACAUGUCAAUCUUCCUCCAGUCUCACCAACAUGCGCAUGCACGGUGAGGCUACGUGGGAGGAGCUGAAACAGGCUUCAAGCUACCAAGGGAUCUUGUAUCCGACGCCCCUAUUUAUAUAGAAUUCAGGAUGUCUAUGUAUGCGAAUUGGUAUAUCAAUAUGCAGAAGGACGAUGGACAGUCGUAUGACUUCAUCGAAGUAGUAAGCGCAAAACGAAAGGAACUUUGCCCGUGGGACGCUUUGCUGCCUGCUCAUCGAGUUUAGUGUAGACAGCAUAGGAUGAAGAAGCCAGCGAGAAAGAUGAAGUGGCAGUAUGUCCUUGAGGCCACGCGCCUCGAGUGCACCGUAGAAGGUGUUUUAUGGGCCCCCAUAAUGGUGCCGGCAAUCCUUAUUCUGUUUCUUCCUCUUAGCUCGUACCUUAUUCACUCGUUUUCUUUUCUACUUUUUUUUACCUCUCUCUCUCUCUCUCUCUCUCUCUCUCUCUCUCUCUCUCUCUUUCUUUCUUUCUCUUUUUUUCUUUUCCUCUUUCUCUCUCUACUAUUUUCUCGUUUUGCGUGGUAUUUCUAGUCGACUUUGUCGAUUCAUUGUACCUUGAGUUGUUACGCUUUAUUACCGUAAAGGAAGACAGUAUGGAACUCGAGGAACGUUGCGAAAAUUUAGGAAGAAGAAGAAGAGAGAGAAAAAGACAAGUAGAAGGUACCUUAAGAAACUUUCAUAUUUACAAGGCCAUUGCCAGAAACAGGAAUUGUACCGUCAUAAACGGUACAAUUCCUGUUUGCAAUAUUACUUAUUUUCAUUAAAACGGCUCCUGGCGGGUGGUUACUUUGAAAACAGCAACCAAGGACGAAAAGUCUGUACCGUAAGCGUGCCAUGAGAUAUAAGCUCGAGAUAUUUAUCAUACUUUCUCAUUUCUCAUAAUUUUGUAACAUAACGACAGUUGUUAUUUAUUUAUAAUUUAUUUGCGAAUAUUCGAAUCUACAUAGCUUUUUAUCUUUUCUCUUGAUCGAGCUUAUCAUCGAAUAAUAUUCACUUAUCGCUUUGUUAGUAGAACACAGAUGUUUUAAAUAGAUUUCGUCGUUGAACGACGAGAUACAGUUCGUCCUUUCUCGUUGACAUCUCAUAUUAAAAUAAACAACGUCGGACCUAUGACCAAAAGUAUAUACCAUAUAUGUAUGUACAUAUGUAAUUAAGUAAGUACAUU